UUUCUUCCCCUCUUUGCAACCUCAAUUCUCUACACCAAAUUUUGAUUCACACUCAAAGAAUAUAAGUGAAGUGAAUACUGUGGUGAAGAAAAGUGGGAGUGAGCCAGCACCAAAAAGGACUCGUAACGAAACUCCAUCAACUUUGCCAGCUUUUAAGGUCAGAAAGGAAAAGAUGGGAGACAGAAUCACUGCACUCCAACAAUUGGUGUCUCCUUUUGGAAAGACUGAUACAGCCUCAGUGCUUUCUGAAGCCAUUGAAUAUAUCAAAUUUCUUCAUGAACAAGUCACACUUUUGAGCACCCCGUAUAUGAAAAGUGGAGCUUCAUCAGAGAUUCAACAGAACUCGGGUAAAUCAAAAAAAUCCGAGGGCGCAAAGCAAGAUCUAAGAAGUCGAGGUCUAUGUUUGGUACCAAUUUCAAGCACAUUUCCAGUGACUCAUGAAACAACAGUUGAUUUUUGGACACCAACAUUUGGAGGAACAUCAAGAUAA